GUGCUCACUUCAGUAUCACAUACACUAAAACUGGAACAACACAGAGAAUAUGAGCAUGGAUUACACACAAAUUCUUCAAACAGUAGAUAUUUUU
rnacentral:snRNA from 1 species